rnacentral:rRNA from 1 species
GGGUUGUGAGGUUAAGCGACUAAGCGUACACGGUGGAUGCCCUGGCAGUCAGAGGCGAUGAAGGACGUGCUAAUCUGCGAUAAGCGUCGGURAGGUGAUAUGAACCGUUAUAACCGGCGAUUUCCGAAUGGGGAAACCCAGUGUGUUUCGACACACUAUCAUUAACUGAAUCCAUAGGUUAAUGAGGCGAACCGGGGGAACUGAAACAUCUAAGUACCCCGAGGAAAAGAAAUCAACCGAGAUUCCCCCAGUAGCGGCGAGCGAACGGGGAGCAGCCCAGAGCCUGAAUCAGUGUGUGUGUUAGUGGAAGCGUCUGGAAAGGCGYGCGAUACAGGGUGACAGCCCCGUACACAAAAAUGCACAUACUGUGAGCUCGAUGAGUAGGGCGGGACACGUGGUAUCCUGUCUGAAUAUGGGGGGACCAUCCUCCAAGGCUAAAUACUCCUGACUGACCGAUAGUGAACCAGUACCGUGAGGGAAAGGCGAAAAGAACCCCGGCGAGGGGAGUGAAAAAGAACCUGAAACCGUGUACGUACAAGCAGUGGGAGCCUCUUAAUGGGGUGACUGCGUACCUUUUGUAUAAUGGGUCAGCGACUUAUAUUCUGUAGCAAGGUUAACCGAAUAGGGGAGCCGAAGGGAAACCGAGUCUUAACUGGGCGUUAAGUUGCAGGGUAUAGACCCGAAACCCGGUGAUCUAGCCAUGGGCAGGUUGAAGGUUGGGUAACACUAACUGGAGGACCGAACCGACUAAUGUUGAAAAAUUAGCGGAUGACUUGUGGCUGGGGGUGAAAGGCCAAUCAAACCGGGAGAUAGCUGGUUCUCCCCGAAAGCUAUUUAGGUAGCGCCUCGUGAAUUCAUCUCCGGGGGUAGAGCACUGUUUCGGCAAGGGGGUCAUCCCGACUUACCAACCCGAUGCAAACUGCGAAUACCGGAGAAUGUUAUCACGGGAGACACACGGCGGGUGCUAACGUCCGUCGUGAAGAGGGAAACAACCCAGACCGCCAGCUAAGGUCCCAAAGUCAUGGUUAAGUGGGAAACGAUGUGGGAAGGCCCAGACAGCCAGGAUGUUGGCUUAGAAGCAGCCAUCAUUUAAAGAAAGCGUAAUAGCUCACUGGUCGAGUCGGCCUGCGCGGAAGAUGUAACGGGGCUAAACCAUGCACCGAAGCUGCGGCAGCGACACUAUGUGUUGUUGGGUAGGGGAGCGUUCUGUAAGCCUGYGAAGGUGUACUGUGAGGUAUGCUGGAGGUAUCAGAAGUGCGAAUGCUGACAUAAGUAACGAUAAAGCGGGUGAAAAGCCCGCUCGCCGGAAGACCAAGGGUUCCUGUCCAACGUUAAUCGGGGCAGGGUGAGUCGACCCCUAAGGCGAGGCCGAAAGGCGUAGUCGAUGGGAAACAGGUUAAUAUUCCUGUACUUGGUGUUACUGCGAAGGGGGGACGGAGAAGGCUAUGUUGGCCGGGCGACGGUUGUCCCGGUUUAAGCGUGUAGGCUGGUUUUCCAGGCAAAUCCGGAAAAUCAAGGCUGAGGCGUGAUGACGAGGCACUACGGUGCUGAAGCAACAAAUGCCCUGCUUCCAGGAAAAGCCUCUAAGCAUCAGGUAACAUCAAAUCGUACCCCAAACCGACACAGGUGGUCAGGUAGAGAAUACCAAGGCGCUUGAGAGAACUCGGGUGAAGGAACUAGGCAAAAUGGUGCCGUAACUUCGGGAGAAGGCACGCUGAUAUGUAGGUGAAGUCCCUYGCGGAUGGAGCUGAAAUCAGUCGAAGAUACCAGCUGGCUGCAACUGUUUAUUAAAAACACAGCACUGUGCAAACACGAAAGUGGACGUAUACGGUGUGACGCCUGCCCGGUGCCGGAAGGUUAAUUGAUGGGGUUAGCGGUAACGCGAAGCUCUUGAUCGAAGCCCCGGUAAACGGCGGCCGUAACUAUAACGGUCCUAAGGUAGCGAAAUUCCUUGUCGGGUAAGUUCCGACCUGCACGAAUGGCGUAAUGAUGGCCAGGCUGUCUCCACCCGAGACUCAGUGAAAUUGAACUCGCUGUGAAGAUGCAGUGUACCCGCGGCAAGACGGAAAGACCCCGUGAACCUUUACUAUAGCUUGACACUGAACAUUGAGCCUUGAUGUGUAGGAUAGGUGGGAGGCUUUGAAGUGUGGACGCCAGUCUGCAUGGAGCCGGCCUUGAAAUACCACCCUUUAAUGUUUGAUGUUCUAACGUUGGCCCCUGAUCGGGGUUGCGGACAGUGUCUGGUGGGUAGUUUGACUGGGGCGGUCUCCUCCUAAAGAGUAACGGAGGAGCACGAAGGUUGGCUAAUCCUGGUCGGACAUCAGGAGGUUAGUGCAAUGGCAUAAGCCAGCUUGACUGCGAGCGUGACGGCGCGAGCAGGUGCGAAAGCAGGUCAUAGUGAUCCGGUGGUUCUGAAUGGAAGGGCCAUCGCUCAACGGAUAAAAGGUACUCCGGGGAUAACAGGCUGAUACCGCCCAAGAGUUCAUAUCGACGGCGGUGUUUGGCACCUCGAUGUCGGCUCAUCACAUCCUGGGGCUGAAGUAGGUCCCAAGGGUAUGGCUGUUCGCCAUUUAAAGUGGUACGCGAGCUGGGUUUAGAACGUCGUGAGACAGUUCGGUCCCUAUCUGCCGUGGGCGCUGGAGAACUGAGGGGGGCUGCUCCUAGUACGAGAGGACCGGAGUGGACGCAUCACUGGUGUUCGGGUUGUCAUGCCAAUGGCACUGCCCGGUAGCUAAAUGCGGAAGAGAUAAGUGCUGAAAGCAUCUAAGCACGAAACUUGCCCCGAGAUGAGUUCUCCCUGACUCCUUGAGAGUCCUGA